GCACGCACACACGCACGCACACACAAAUCCCUUCCUAUAUGGCUAUUUUUGUCUACGUCUUGAGUUUUAAUUCAUUACAGUUUGGUGUCUAGUGAACAAACUCUGACAGUGUGAUAAGUCUGAUCACUACCUGGCUCUGCAGCCUCUCCAAUCUCUCUCUUUUACUGACCCUUUUAGUUUAGUUAGGGGCCUUGUUAUGGGAAUUAUGUACCAACAGACACAAUUCACAGCUCCCUCCUAAAUUCUCU